AAGUUCUUUCCUCCCUGACUGAGCAUUGACUCAUUAGGUCUUCUUAUCCUCAGACAGAAGUGAGGGCCAAGAACAGGUAACAGGUACAAGGAAUGUCCCUGGACAUGAAGAGGAGCCAACUGUGUGAGGACAGAGACGAGGCCUGCUGAGUGAGUUCU